GUGCCAGCAGCCGCGGUAAUACGGAGGGUGCGAGCGUUGUUCGGAAUUAUUGGGCGUAAAGCGCGUGUAGGCGGCCUUUUAAGUCUGAUGUGAAAGCCCCGGGCUCAACCUGGGAAGUGCAUUGGAAACUGGAAGGCUUGAGUACGGGAGAGGGUAGUGGAAUUCCGAGUGUAGGGGUGAAAUCCGUAGAUAUUCGGAGGAACACCGGUGGCGAAGGCGGCUACCUGGACCGAUACUGACGCUGAGACGCGAAAGCGUGGGGAGCAAACAGGAUUAGAUACCCUGGUAGUCCACGCCGUAAACGAUGGGU
rnacentral:rRNA from 1 species